rnacentral:rRNA from 1 species
UACAGAGGGUGCAAGCGUUAAUCGGAAUUACUGGGCGUAAAGCGCACGUAGGUGGUCACUUAAGUCAGGUGUGAAAUCCCCGGGCUCAACCUGGGAAUGGCAUUUGAUACUGGGUGUCUAGAGUACGUUAGAGGGAAGUGGAAUUUCCGGUGUAGCGGUGAAAUGCGUAGAUAUCGGAAGGAACAUCAGUGGCGAAGGCGACUUCCUGGAAUAAUACUGACACUGAGGAGCGAAAAGCGUGGGGAGCGAACAGG